UACGGAGGGUGCAAGCGUUAUCCGGAUUCACUGGGUUUAAAGGGUGCGUAGGUGGGCAGGUAAGUCAGUGGUGAAAUCUCCGGGCUUAACCCGGAACUGCCGUUGAUACUAUUUGUCUUGAAUAUAGUGGAGGUGAGCGGAAUAUGUCAUGUAGCGGUGAAAUGCUUAGAUAUGACAUAGAACAUCGAUUGCGAAGGCAGCUCGCUACACUAUUAUUGACACUGAGGCACGAAAGCGUGGGGAUCAAACAGG
rnacentral:rRNA from 1 species